rnacentral:miRNA from 1 species
AUACAGAUCAUCUGAGGAUCUUGUUGACAUUGAGAUUCUGAUUCCAUAGAUCUGAAGUGAGGCCUCAGAUUCUGGCUGUUAAUAAAAUCCCAGGUGAUGUCGAC